rnacentral:rRNA from 1 species
AUUGAACGCUGGCGGCAGGCCUAACACAUGCAAGUCGAACGGUAACAGGAAGCAGCUUGCUGCUUCGCUGACGAGUGGCGGACGGGUGAGUAAUGUCUGGGAAGCUGCCUGAUGGAGGGGGAUAACUACUGGAAACGGUAGCUAAUACCGCAUAAUGUCGCCAGACCAAAGAGGGGGACCUUCGGGCCUCUUGCCAUCGGAUGUGCCCAGAUGGGAUUAGCUUGUUGGUGGGGUAACGACUCACCAAGGCGACGAUCCCUAGCUGGUCUGAGAGGAUGACCGGCCACACUGGAACUGGGACACGGUCCAGACUCCUACGGGAGGCAGCAGUGGGGAAUAUUGCACAAUGGGCGCAAGCCUGAUGCAGCCAUGCCGCGUGUAUGAAGAAGGCCUUCGGGUUGUAAAGUACUUUCAGCGGGGAGGAAGGGAGUAAAGUUAAUACCUUUGCUCAUUGACGUUACCCGCAGAAGAAGCACCGGCUAACUCCGUG